rnacentral:rRNA from 1 species
CCUACGGGUGGCAGCAGUGAGGAAUAUUGGUCAAUGGACGCGAGCCUGAACCAGCCAAGUAGCGUGAAGGAUGACUGCCCUACGGGUUGUAAACUUCUUUUAUAAAGGAGUAAAGUGAGGCACGUGUACCUUUUUGAAUGUACUUUAUGAAUAAGGAUCGGCUAACUCCGUGCCAGCAGCCGCGGUAAUACGGAGGAUCCGAGCGUUAUCCGGAUUUAUUGGGUUUAAAGGGAGCGUAGAUGGGUUGUUAAGUCAGUGGUGAAAGUUUGCGGCUCAACCGUAAAAUUGCAAUUGAUACUGUCAGUCUUGAGUACAGUUGAGGUAGGCGGAAUUCGUGGUGUAGCGGUGAAAUGCUUAGAGAUCACGAAGAACUCCGAUUGCGAAGGCAGCUUACUAAACUGCCACUGACAUUGAUGCUCGAAAGUGUGGGUAUCAAACAGGAUUAGAUACCCGGGUAGUC